CCUACGGGCGGCAGCAGUGAGGAAUAUUGGUCAAUGGCCGAGAGGCUGAACCAGCCAAGUCGCGUGAGGGAAGACGGCCCUACGGGUUGUAAACCUCUUUUGUCGGGGAGCAAACCGAACCACGUGUGGUUCAUUGAGAGUACCCGAAGAAAAAGCAUCGGCUAACUCCGUGCCAGCAGCCGCGGUAAUACGGAGGAUGCGAGCGUUAUCCGGUUUUAUUGGGUUUAAAGGGUGCGCAGGCGGGGGGGAAAGUCAGCGGUCAAAUUGCGGGGCUCAACCCCGUAAUGCCGUUGAAACUGCAUCCCUUGAGUGCGCGGGAGGUAUGCGGAAUGCGUGGUGUAGCGGUGAAAUGCAUAGAUAUCACGCAGAACUCCGAUUGCGAAGGCAGCAUACCGGCGCGCAACUGACGCUCAUGCACGAAAGCGUGGGGAUCGAACAGGAUUAGAUACCCCAGUAGUC
rnacentral:rRNA from 1 species